rnacentral:rRNA from 1 species
UAUGUGAUCGUCUCUCGCAUAUCAAUAAGCGGAGGAAAAGAAACUAACAAGGAUUCCCCUAGUAACGGCGAGUGAAGCGGGAAGAGCUCAAAUUUGAAAUCUUAAAGGGUUUCCCUUUACGAAUUGUAGUUUAAAGAAGUGUUUUCUGUUGAGGUUUUGGUAAAAGUUCUUUGGAAUAGGACAUCAUAGAGGGUGAGAAUCCCGUAUUUGACCUUUACUUUCAACUUUGUGAUACACUUUCAAAGAGUCGGAUUGUUUGGGAAUGCAGUCCAAAAUGGGUGGUAAAUUUCAUCUAAAGCUAAAUAUUGGCGAGAGACCGAUAGCGAACAAGUACCGUGAGGGAAAGAUGAAAAGAACUUUGAAAAGAGAGUUAAACAGUACGUGAAAUUGUCAAAGGGAAGCGUUUGACACCAGUGUUGUUUUUCUGAAAAUCAAUUAAAGAACUGUUUAUGCUAAGUUGUUUAGACUUUAUCAGCUAACUGUUUAGUUUUGAGCUUUUCUUUAAUGCACUUUUCAGUUAACAAGUCAACAUCAAUUUCUUUUGCUGUAAAAAAGCUUGAGGAAGGUGGCUUGAGAUUCGUCUUAAGUGUUUAUAGCCUCUUGCCUAUGCAGUCGGAGAGAUUGAGGUCUGCAGCGUAGAUCCUUCGGGGCUAAAUGCAUUUGUGCUAAGUUAUAGCAUUUUAUAGACAACUUGUUGACUAUGAUUUGUCUUGUAGCUUACUCGCUUAUGUUAUUUUACCUACGCUUAGGAUGUUGACACACGCGCGUGCUCG